rnacentral:rRNA from 1 species
UUCCCCUACGGAGGCAGCAGUGGGGAAUAUUGCACAAUGGGCGAAAGCCUGAUGCAGCGACGCCGCGUGAGGGAUGACGGCCUUCGGGUUGUAAACCUCUUUCAGCAGGGAAGAAGCGAAAGUGACGGUACCUGCAGAAGAAGCGCCGGCUAACUACGUGCCAGCAGCCGCGGUAAUACGUAGGGCGCAAGCGUUGUCCGGAAUUAUUGGGCGUAAAGAGCUCGUAGGCGGCUUGUCACGUCGGAUGUGAAAGCCCGGGGCUUAACCCCGGGUCUGCAUUCGAUACGGGCAGGCUAGAGUGUGGUAGGGGAGAUCGGAAUUCCUGGUGUAGCGGUGAAAUGCGCAGAUAUCAGGAGGAACACCGGUGGCGAAGGCGGAUCUCUGGGCCAUUACUGACGCUGAGGAGCGAAAGCGUGGGGAGCGAACAGGAUUAGAUACCCUGGUAGUCCACGCCGUAAACGUUGGGAACUAGGUGUUGGCGACAUUCCACGUCGUCGGUGCCGCAGCUAACGCAUUAAGUUCCCCGCUGGGAGUA